GGGCCCGCACAAGCGGUGGAGCAUGUGGUUUAAUUCGAUGCAACGCGAAGAACCUUACCUGGUCUUGACAUACACAGAAUCUUGUAGAGAUACGAGAGUGCCUUCGGGACGAGUGCACAGGUGCUGCAUGGCUGUCGUCAGCUCGUGUCGUGAGAUGUUGGGUUAAGUCCCGCAACGAGCGCAACCCUCGCCCUUAGUUGCCAGCAUUCAGUUGGGCACUCUAGGGGGACUGCCGGUGAUAAGCCGAGAGGAAGGUGGGGAUGACGUCAAGUCCUCAUGGCCCUUACGGGCUGGGCUACACACGUGCUACAAUGGCGGUGACAGUGGGCAGCCAACUCGCGAGAGUGAGCUAAUCCCAAAAACGUCUCAGUUCGGAUUGCACUCUGCAACUCGGGUGCAUGAAGUUGGAAUCGCUAGUAAUCG
rnacentral:rRNA from 1 species